GCCCGGCGCGGAGGACGCGGCGCUGCUCACGUCGGCCCGGUAGCUGCGCCGCCGGGAGGCGCUGUCCGGGCCCGCUAGGCUCCACGCUGCGCCCCGCCGGGCCGGGAGCGGGGCCCAGCAGAGCGGCGGCCACAGGGGUUGGGGUGCGCAGGGUUAGGCCUGGAGGUUCUGUGUUCGCAGUGGAGGGACUGGGGUCCACAGGGGAGGGUCUGGAGUCCGCUUGGAGGCGUCCGAGCCGUGCGAGCCCGCGGGAAGGGAGCAAAGCGCCCCGUACCCCUCUGACGGCCCUCCGUCAGGAACGGGCGAGUCUGCGUGCGAUCAGUGCCGGGGCGAAGCUCCUUUGUGCCGGGAGAGGCAAGGCUGUGGUUGCAGGGCCGCAAGCGGUCAUCAGCGGAUUGAGGAGAUGACCAUCUAAUUCCUCAUUGAAUAAAGGCGUGUCGGCUGUCUACAGACCCUGAGAGAGAGGACAGAGAUGGAUACCAGCGAGAUACGUGAGGCAAUGUCGGGCCCAGGCACGGGUGGAUGCCAGCCCUGAAAAUGAAGGGGCGAGCUCACAGACUGAAUCAGAAACAAAGAUCAUAAACUCCUCUCCAGACAGCACAUGGAGAACUCGGGAACUGAAAAUGAACAUGUCUAUUCAAAUAAUUUUAUGUUCAAUUUUUUUGUCAAUUGUGUUAAGAUCUUUUGCUAUUGUGGAAAGAAUUUUUAAGAAUAAGGUUUUAUAUAUUAGUGGGGCUUGUAGUUCUUCUUGUCAUUUUGCCGUGCAUCAUUCAGUGCAUUCAGCAUGCCAUGGAGAAAACUGUGAAAGAGGUGUUUUUAGUGCAAACAGCAGACGGAGAUGUAGGGGUCCAGAGUGUUCCUCUGGCUUCCCUGGGAGGUUCAAGACUCCCCUGGCGGGGUCCCCAAAGACCCUCAAAUGAGACCCAAGUGUCUCAGGGGCUGAAUUUAGUUCCUUGGAACAAUUUACCAACAUUGAGAGAAGAAAUGCAAGCUGCAAAAAUAGAGUGUAAAUUAGAUUGUUAGAAUGUAGAAUAAGUAGAUUUCUAGAAUGUUUAUCUUAAGGGGCUCAUGGUCAAGAUGGAGGAUUUGGGGCGUGGUAUGCUUCUUCCUCCUUCUUCUCCAUGCCAUCCAUCUUGAAGUGCCACCUUGGCAUCCUUCAAUUGGAUGAGGACAAAACUAGACAUUACAAUAAGGUUGUGGUGUAUUGGAAAAUAAUUGUAAAUAUCUAGCAUGUAAUUUAGAGUAUAAAAGAUAAGUCCUGCCUCUGCCAGGUGGAUUCUGCCCUGGACAUCUAGCUAGACAGAUCACUGUUAGCUGGGCAAAGAAUUCCUGAGAAAAGAAAUAAUAAACAAUCCUUGAAACUUCAGAAAACAGCCUCCUGCAGUCUCUCAUCAGCAAGUGUUGGGGAAAACCUGAAUUUUAGACCACCUUCAUGUCCUCCUGAGGUGAUCUCAAGCAUAAAGAGACACCUCGGGCUGUGACAGGUUCUCAAAGCAAUCUUUGCAAAGGGAAGAAUUGCAAAGGACAAGAAUUUGGAGGACCUCAAAACAGUCUUUAGCAUGUGAAUGUUCCAUUAAUUAGAAGGUCUUAUUUUAUGACACUUUUUCUGGAGGCUAGGGGCCUACAAAUUCAGUCAUUUUUCUAAGUGUGGGACAUCUAGCUUACAUUUAGUAAUAAAAGGAAUCAAAGUAUUUGGGGGUGGGGGGAAAGAAAAAAGCAUUGAAAUGAUAUAUUAUCAACUCUUUGUAAAGAAACUGGGAAAGAGACUGACCUUGGGGCCUACUCAGAGGAUAGGCAUUAAAAUUUUCUUUCUGAAUUUUAAAAGUUUUUUUCUUCAAAAUUAAAGAAAAUUAAUUAAAAUAUCAGCCUUUUAUGAUUACCUUUGUAUCAAAGUCAUUAGUUUGAGUAGAACCUGUCAAAUCUACUAGUUGUAUUUAUGGUUAAGAUAAGGCAAUCUAUCUUGGACUUCAUGUUUAAUGACUAUAUCAUUCUACUGAAUUUUGCUUAUACUGCUUUCAUUACUUCAAGAGCCAUUUUCAUAUUGCUUCACAAAGGCAAUAAAAAUGGAUACAAUAAAAUGGGAUGUUUAAUUUUGUCUCCUGAAAUCUGAGAAUUGGCUUACAGUGUCCUGUCCUUUGAAUUUGAAAAUUUCUCAUGUAGACAAACAAGAUAACUUUUAAGCUUUAUUCUGUGACUUCUGCUGUUACCUCCUAGUGUGAAAUACUGAAAAAUAAACAAAGCAAACCCCAGAUCCUGUAGAGUACUAGACUUCCUGUAAGACUGAUUUCACUGAGUUGAAAAAUUACUUCUCAUCUUGGAUGACUGGAUAUCAACUUUUAUAAUUGCUUUUCAUGGGAAAUAGAACUGUAGGAUUUUCUUUAGCUAGUCUUUAGCUAGCCAGUCUUUUCAUCUGCAUUAGGUCCAAAUUCAGCACGGAUUUGAAUUUUGAGAUUAGAUACAUGCUAAAGCAAUUAAUUUUAGACCUUUGACAUGAAAGUAAUAUGUGGUUGUAAUCUCAUGAUAAAGUACUUGGGCUUCCUUGUAUACAGGAAUAAACUGAAAUUAAAUUAAUGUCCUAAGCUUUUGCAUUGUGGCUUAUCUUGAAAUUUUUCAUUAUCCAUACCUGAACCAUGCUAGACCAUAAUGGCCUGCCAUUCAUAAAUGGCAUCUGUGAAAAAACAUUGUUUCAAUUUGUGCAAAACCCUUUUGAGUCUUACAGUCUUCUUGCUUAUACUUCCAUAACACAAUAAUAUUGUUACUGGCAAGCAACAAUUGUAAAUAUUAAAUCAUAAAGGUCAUUAGCUUUAUAUAUCUUGAAGAAGUAUUUUAGGUAGGUAAAUUGAUUCCAUGCUCUGAGCUAUUUGCUUUGAGCACUAUUUACUCUAAUUUUGCCACAAAUAGAUCAUUUCCUUUUACCAUGUUUGGUUUUUUUUUUUUUUUUUUUUUUUUUUUUAAUUUGGUUUUGGGUUUUUGUUUUGGUUGGUUGGUUUUUUUUGAUUUUUUGUUUUACUUUGUUCUGUUUUUUGGUGGUUUUUUUGGAAAAACAAGAUACAAACUUUAUUCUGUUGCGUAUGUAAAAGUACAGGAGUCAUACACUAGAGAGCUGCACAGUGAUUUACUUUGCAAAUGGGGCAGCAUGCUGGCAGCAAAAAGGAUGAAAGCCUUUGAAGAGCUCUUUUGAGGAUAGAAAUCAGCCCAUUAUUUCCUUCAGACUGCAAUUUUAUUCAUUUCUAUUUCCCAGAUUUUUUUCUAGCAUCCACCAAGAUAAAUUUAAAUUUUAAAAAGGAGUCCCAGUGAAAGAGGUAUAUAUUAUAAAGAUAUGUAACACAGCUGUCGUUAAAAUAAUUGGUAAAAAGCAAAAAUAUACCAAAGAAAUACCUUUAUAUUGGAGGCUUAAUUUUGCCCAGGUGAAUGGAAAUAGGCAACAAAUCCAGUUACGCAAGCUAGCAUCCUUAACAAAACUUCAAUCCUUGUACAGUGAAUGGUCUCUGCAGCCUGCAGAUGAGGAUGCAGUCCUCCAAGAAUAGGCUGCAGGGUCCCUCUGUCCCCCGGGUCUCCCACUGGAUCACAGCCUCCUCCAGGCAUCCACCUGCUCCGGCAUGGGCACCUCCCCCACGGGCUGGGGUGGAUCUCUGCAUUCCCUGGAUCCCAUGGGCUGAGGGGCACAGCUGCUUCACCAUGGUCAUCACCACAGCCUGCAGAGGAAUCUCAGCUCCAGCGCCUGGAGCACCUCCUGCCCCUCCUUCUCUACUGACCCUGGUGUCUCCAUGUUGUUUCCCUCACAUGUUCUCACCUCCUCCUCUUCUCUGACUAGAAGCCAAAACUGUGUGUACUUUGUUUGGAUUUUCUUCUUAAGUAUGUCACCACAGAGGCAUUGCCAGCCUCUCUCAUUGGCCCAUUUUCCCAGCAACAUGUCCGUCCUCAGAGCCAUCAGGUAUUGGCUUUGUUGGACAUGGUGGAAACUUCCAGCAGCUUCUCACAGGAGCCAUCGUUGUGACCUCCCUGCUGCUGUAAACCAGGCCGUGCCAAACCAAUACAGGCAUAGAAGAAGAAGUUUACUGUAUAGGUGAUGAGGCAUUGGAGGCAGCUGCCCAGAGAAACUGUGGAUGCCUCAUCCCCGGAAGUGUUCAAGGCUAGGCUGGAUGGGGCUCUGGGCAACCUGGUCUAGUGGAAGACGUCCCAGCCCACAGUAAGGAAUUGGAAUUAGGUGGUGUUUAAAUGUCCUGUCCAACACAAGUUACUCUGGGAAUCUGUGAUCUCAUAAUUCUUUUACUUGAUUGUUUGAAGACUUAGUUAACAUAUUGUCAUCAUCCCUCAUUAACCCUGGGUUUACUUGUCCUUUGGAAAGUAAAAGAGACACAAGGAAUUAUGCCAGAAAGGAGAGAUCACAAACUCUGCCCCUCUUCCAGAAUGGAGUCAAGUUCCCAUCAAAAUGGAACAUCUGAAGAUGAUGUGCAAAUUGCUCUUUCUUUAAAACAGAGCAACAAGUUCAGACAUCCACUUUCACUGUGACAUCUAAAAAAGGAGUCCACACAUUGCUUGUCUCUGAAGAAAGAUAUCCAACGUAUUUUUUUCAGACAGAUUUAAUUCAUCUUCUCUAUGCAAAGCCAUAGAAAUGCAUUUAAAUCUUAAAACAGCAAUACAUCUUUCUCUUUCUUGUCAUAUAUUUACUGUUUUUCCAGUUUACUUCCUUUAUGUCUUACUGAUAUUUAUGUGCCAAAAGAUUCCCUCUGGACAUGCCUCCAAAUAGCUUAAGAAAACAGCCGGACAAAGUGCUGGGAUCUGGCAGAUGCCUUUAGGUUUAUUUUUAGAUAUUUGUAGUGGUCAUUUUCUCUUAAGUGAGCAAUGAUCACCUUGACAGAAGGACAGCAAGCCACUGAGUGAAAUUGGAAUAUGUCAGGGGUAUGAAGGCUAGCAAUAUGCCACCAAAAUUUCUUCUGUCUUACAUGAAGAAAACUGAGAAAGAUAUGUAAGCCUUUUUGAGAUUCUCUCAUGCAUGAUAUGCUUAUUUGUUUUGUCAGUGGAGUCAGGUUUCCAGAAACUGAAUCUUUCUUUUAAUCCCACAAUAAAUUGCUUACCUUGAUCUAUUAUUCUUCUGAAAUAAUUGAAUAUAGGAUUGCUGUAGCCAAUUAGGUUCUUUUUCAUCUGAUUUCUAGCAUUAUGGCAGAUGUGAUUCAUAUUAUGUAUCUAGAUUCCUAUUAUAUGUAAACAAAAUACUAACUUGCAAUCCUUUUUUAUUUCUAACGUAAACUUAAACCUGAUUGUAAACUGCCUAUUUUCAUGUGGCAACACUGGACUAAAUAUCAGCAAAAAUUAUAUGCAAUUCAUUCAUUGACUGGUAAAAGAUCUGCUGUAUUGUAUGAGAAUAAUCACAUGGCAAUGAAGGCAUGGGACAUUUUCCCAAAUGUAAUUAACAUUUUAAGUACUACAUUAUUCCAAUUUCUUGAAUUACCUUUGGCAUUUAUUGCAAAUUCCUGAAAGUGAAUGAACAUCGCAAAUGUCA